GUGGGGAAUAUUGGACAAUGGGCGAAAGCCUGAUCCAGCCAUGCCGCGUGUGUGAAGAAGGUCUUCGGAUUGUAAAGCACUUUAAGUUGGGAGGAAGGGCAGUAAGUUAAUACCUUGCUGUUUUGACGUUACCAACAGAAUAAGCACCGGCUAACUUCGUGCCAGCAGCCGCGGUAAUACGAAGGGUGCAAGCGUUAAUCGGAAUUACUGGGCGUAAAGCGCGCGUAGGUGGUUUUGUAAGUUGGAGGUGAAAUCACCGGGCUCAACCUGGGAACUGCCUCCAAAACUGCAUGACUAGAGUACGGUAGAGGGUAGUGGAAUUUCCUGUGUAGCGGUGAAAUGCGUAGAUAUAGGAAGGAACACCAGUGGCGAAGGCGACUACCUGGACUGAUACUGACACUGAGGUGCGAAAGCGUGGGGAGCAAACAGGAUUAGAUACCCGAGUAGUCC
rnacentral:rRNA from 1 species